rnacentral:rRNA from 1 species
AAUGAACGCUGGCGGCAUGCCUAACACAUGCAAGUCGAACGAGACCUUCGGGUCUAGUGGCGCACGGGUGCGUAACGCGUGGGAAUCUGCCCUUGGGUUCGGAAUAACAGUUAGAAAUGACUGCUAAUACCGGAUGAUGUCGUAAGACCAAAGAUUUAUCGCCCAAGGAUGAGCCCGCGUAGGAUUAGCUAGUUGGUGAGGUAAAAGCUCACCAAGGCGACGAUCCUUAGCUGGUCUGAGAGGAUGAUCAGCCACACUGGGACUGAGACACGGCCCAGACUCCUACGGGAGGCAGCAGUGGGGAAUAUUGGACAAUGGGCGAAAGCCUGAUCCAGCAAUGCCGCGUGAAUGAUGAAGGUCUUAGGAUUGUAAAAUUCUUUUACCAGGGACGAUAACGACGGUACCUGGAGAAAAAGCCCCGGCUAACUUCGUGCCAGCAGCCGCGGUAACAC